UGGUUUUGAACAAGAACAUUGAUAACUUCUUUGCUGAGAAUGAACAAUUGGCGUUCAAUCCCGGACUUGUUGUCCCCGGAAUCUACUAUUCCGAUGAUAAGAUGCUUCAAGGGAGAAUCUUUGCGUAUUCCGAUACUCAAAGGCAUCGUCUUGGACCGAAUUAUCUUCAACUUCCGGUCAACGCCCCCAAAUGUGCUCAUCAUAACAAUCAUUAUGAUGGAAAUAUGAACUUCAUGCAUAGAGAUGAAGAGGUGGGUUAUCUUUUCAUUUUGUUAUCUUUAAUUAGUUCAUAAAAAUUUGUGGGUUUCAUUAUAAGAAAAAGAUAUAACCAAAAUCAAAACUUUCUAAAAUACAUGCGAUGGAUUUCUUCCAGGUUGAUUACUUCCCUUCGAGGUAUGAUCGUGUUCAACAUGCUCAGAAAUACCCGAUCAAUUCUGCUAGGGUUACUGGAACCCGUGAAAGGGUUAGUUUCUUGUUUCCUUGGUUUCUUCUAUGACUCAGUUUUAUCAAAUACGAGCAUUAGAAAGAAAAAACACAAAAGUAAAUAACUAUGGUUUCUUUUCGAUGCAGACUGUGAUCCCAAAAUUUAACGAUUUCAAGCAGCCAGGAGAGAGAUACAGAUCCUGGGAACCUGACAGGUAGUUAUUAAUUAUUAUUAUAUCUCAUUUGUUUUUUCUAUAAUUGUUUCAAGAUUCCAUCAAUUUUAUAAACUGUUAAUUUUAUUUAUAGGCAAGAACGAUUCAUUCACCGAAUGGUUAAGAUGUUGUCCGACCCACGGGUCACCCAUGAGCUCCGCAGCAUUUGGAUCUCUUACUGGACCCAGGUAUGUUCUAAUAUUCAUGUAACAAUGUCCCCCUUUUUAAUCUUGUUUGGUUGUAAUUUUAAUUUUUGGGUGAUUUUUUUGCAGGCUGACCAGUCUUUGGGCCAGAAGAUAGCCUCAAGGCUCAGUGUGCGGCCCAGUUAUUGAACAUAAACGUUUUGGGACGAUUGUUUGAGUGUGGUCAACGGGUCAAUGUCAAGGUCAAGGUCUGUCUCUUAAGUUUGUUGCACAAAUGGUGUCAAUGUUGUUGUGUACUAUCUUUUUAUUAUGUAAUAUUUUCGUGUACUUUAAGGAGCCUGGAACUUAGAAUAAGAGCACACUUCGAUGUGCUGAGUUACUGUGUUUCAGGUUCGGGUCUGUAAAGCGAAAGCCUAUAUACUUUAUGGGUCACGUGUUAUGUAAUAUGUAAGUUGUUACUUUUACAUGUAAUCUUGUUCUUUUGCAAUCUAUUUGAUACUUGGAGUUGGAUUGUAAAUGUGGUGGGUUGAUUUUCUUCUUUAUGUUUGACACAUCACACAUGGAAUUGAUUGGGCUUACAUUUUAUCCAAAUGAAAAGCCGAAUAGCAACUCUGAUGGGCUUUCAUUUAGAUAAAAUAUUAAAUGUGACUGUUGUACUACGUAAUUUUUAAACCGGAUUUUCCAAAACAAAAUGAUGAUUUUAUACCAUGUCAUAACUCAUAAUGAAUGGUUGUGUAUGAAAUGUUAAAUAUUGCCCUACUUGGCUUGAUGUUAUACGGUGGAAGUUGGAAGCUGCUAUUCAAUUAUCUGUCUUUUACACUAGCCUCAACCUCAACAUGGCAUUUUGAUCACGAAGGUUUAGUUCCAUGUGAUUCAUUCAUGGUCAACUCCUUGAUCAUAUGGUAUGAAAUAGCUCUUGACAAAUUAUCAAUUCACUUGUUAUACCAUUUUUUUUAAUAACUAAUUUGAUUUUUGGGGUUUUCUUGGGCCGACAUAUGGCACAAGAUGCUUUAACCCCUUUUGUUUGCGUGCAGAGCCUGACAACACAACAUUUCACUUAUGAAGUUUGAUAUUGUUAUGCGAAAGGCCUUGAAGAUAAUCUCAAAUCAGGUAAUACAGUGUCAUUUCGAUUUUCUUAAAAUAUAUAUUUGUUCAUUGACUUUAAAUGUCAAAAAUCUUAAUCAAAUUAGACUUUUGUGACAUUUUUUUUACUAAAUACAAAGAAAUAAAUCAACAAACAUAUAGUCUACGUGAUAUAUUAUUAGCGUAUUUAAAUUCAUUACAGCAUACCAACCUAUUUUGACUAUGUUAGAUGUCAUUAGAUAGUGACUACAAUUUUAAGACGUGAGCCACUUAUAGUGUCCGGCUUAAACGCACUAUUAUUUAUUUAUUUAUUGGAUUUUGGGAGGCUUAAACGCACUAUUAUUUAUUUAUUUAUUGGAUUUUGGGAGCACUAAACAAAUAGAAAAAAGUAAAAAUAUAAUCAAAAUCUUCCACAUGAAAUACAAAGUAAACAUGUUAUAAAUAUCAACUAUAAUAAAAAUACACAAAUUUACGUGGAAACUUGUAGUAAAAUACCACAAGAUACCGACUCGACUAAUUGAAUCCAAAAUUAGAGAUGUGAUAUUAAAAAAGUAAUACCAUAAAACACGAUGUUGUGAAUGCUAAACGUCUUUCGACAAAAUAAUCGUCUAGCCAUUAAAAUACCUUACAAUAUCAAAUAUACAAAAAUGUCUUACGAUAUUAAAUGCUUGAACAAGCCGAACAAUUUUUAAAUUUAUUCAACGUUUACUUACCAAAAGGCUUCUAGUCCAGCGGUAUCCGGUAUUGCUCUCAUUUUUUGAGGUUGAGAUCAACGUUUAGUUAAACUCUUUCUUACUGAUAUUAAAGAAGUCUUAAAUAUAUAUGAAGGGUGAAUGAAUGAUCAGUACAAAAGUAAAUAUAUACGAUAAUUUGAAAACCAAAACGAAGAAAAAGCUCGAAACUCUAAAUGAGUUUCUUCGACAAAUGAUUGAUAGGAUAUCAAUAUCUUAAAACUCCCAUUACCAAAAGCCUAUAAAAAUACGUAGUAACUUCCAAACAUUUUGGAUCAUAUGAAGGUGGUUGAAGAUGUGCUUGAUCCCAUACAUGCAACAACAAUAAUUGGAAGGGCAAUGGGUAGUAUCUCCAAAGGAGUUCAACCCAAGAUGAAAUCAUACACAUUAUGGAUGAUGUCAAAUAUCCAGAUCUUUUAUUUAGGGGUGUUUGGGAUUGCAUUUUAAAAUUGCUUAUUUGCUUAUUGGCUUUUUCAAAAGCUAACAAGUAAAAAAAAGUGUUUGACAAACUCAAAAACACUUUUUAGAAUAGCUUUUCCAUAAGUUUCAAAAAACACUUUUUAAUAAGCAUGUAAAAAGUGACUUUUUGAAACUGUUUAUAGCUUUUCAACCAAAAUAAUUUCAAAAAACAUUUUUUAAACCAAACAUUACUUAUUGACUUAUUGACUUUUUUACUAUAAAAGCUUACCCAAAUACUUUUUUAUAAAACUCCUUUUAUCAUCGCUAUAAGCAAAUAAACACUUCUAUCUAAAAGCACUUUUAGAGUUCAAAAAACACUCCCAAAUACCCCCUAAGUCUGUUGCUUCCAAAAACAUUUAGUACAUCAUGAUAGUCGGCUUGAACGAGUAAUGCUCUCAUCUUGUCUUGUAAAGAUGAAGGUUAAUUCAACCAUUGACACUUUUGAUUAAAAUGACAUUUUGCAAUGGUUGUUGGAUUUAAUAGGGGUUAUUAUGGAUCAAAUGGUUUUCUUCAACAAAUGAGUUAUAAGAUAUCAAUAUCUCAAAACUCCUAUUACCAAAAGCCUUUAGAAGUACGUAGUACCUUCCAUACAUUUUGGAUCAUUUGUAGGUAGUUAAACACGCGUUUAAUCCAUACAUGCAUUGUUUGAAGGACAAAGGCCAGUAACUCCAAAAGAUUUUAACCCAAGAUGAAGUUAUACACAUUGUUUCAUUAAAAUGACAUUCUGCAAUGGUUGUUAGAUUUAACAGGGUUUAUUUAGUCUCUUCGACGAGGCAUUCCCACAAAUAUUUAUUCAACGAGAUGGAAUAAUCUAGUCUCGAUUAAGUUGAAUAUAUUCAUGUGGAGGGUAUUUAUAAAUCGUAUUCUAACAUGUGCUAGUUUAGAUGACCAAGGAAUACACUUGGGUUCUACUCUUUUUCCGCUUUGUGAAAAGGUCACAUAGACUGUCCCACAUUUGUUUUCUAUGUGCUUCGUUAUUCUAGACAUUUGGGUUCUUGUUGUGCGGUGGUGGAAUUUGGUUGCCCUUUUUAAUGCUAUGGUGGUUGAUUAGAUAAAAUAGGCAGAUAUCAUGAAGCUUAAUUUGGUGCAUCACAUAAUGUUAUGAUGUGGUUAUCAUCACCUCUUUUUUGGGUUGUAUGGAAGUUUCGUAAGUCCUUGCUCUUUGGAACCGGUAGACCUUAUAAAGUUAAUAUUUUUGAUGAUAUAGUACCGCAAUCAUUUUUAUGGACUUGUAAUAAGUGAAAGAACUAUAUCAUGAGUUGAGUUGGUUUAUUGCACAACCCCUCAUUAGUAUUUUACGGCCUUGCACUUUGUUCUUUUCUCACUAGCACCUUGUUAGUGUUUUAUAAAAUAUUCUAUGGUUCCAAAAAAGCUAAGACAAUAUUUAUAAACCUCUAACAAAAAUCCUAAAAUCUCUAAGUAACCAAAUAUAUGUAAAUGUUAGCUUUGGAUAAUAACUUAGGAUGGAAGUAAUCGGAUAACUCUAAUGUGGGAGAAUUCGAUUUACAUAUAAAAACAAAACUGGUGGAACCAAAAUCGUACCUCACCCGAUAAAACUCCUAAUUCAUUAAAGGAAAGAAAAAUAAAAGACAAUAAAAGAAAAGAAAGAAAUGAAUUGAUCUUCCUUUCCUUUCUCUCCGAUCACUUCCGAUUUGGGAGGACAAUUGGUAGAAAAAAUUAACAUGAAUCUUCCAUUCCUUUAUCUUUUCUUCUUUCCAAUAAUAAAUAACUCAAGAGCAAUGAUUUUUCCAAAUCUUCCCGCUUCCUUUCCUUUCUCUCAUGUAAUUAAGUUUUGGAGCGGAUCGUUAGAAAUUUGUAACAUAACAGCUUCAAAGUUUGUAAUUUUGUUCUUGAAUCUAGGCUUAAAUGUCCACGCCCUCUUAUAGUGUCCACAAGAACACCACCAUAUCACAAGGAAGUGAAAAAGGCUUUUUCUUUUGUGAAGAAAGAACGAUGAUAAUCACUAAAAUUACCAAAAUAGGAGGGGUCGAUAUAGUAGAAUGACCUAUUUUUCAAAUCUAUCACAAAAUAACCAUCUAGCAAAAAAGAUAUUCACAACGUUCUUUUAUUUUGUGAAUUACAUUUGAGGCCAUUUCAACAAUUCUUGGCCAAUUUUUCUUAAUUAGGUUUCGCAUAGCCUUUUGCACAAUCGUUGUCUAUCAUGAAUUUCCAUGGAAAUUAAACAAGUCCUUAAGCCUUGAUAUCUUCCAUCUUGAAACAUUAUUUCUUUCAAUCUUAAAUAAAUUCACAGUAUCGGGAAGUUAGAGUACUUAUUGGGUGUGAGAUGAAGUCAAUUGGUGUUUGCGUAUACGAUGUAAGGACUAUUGAAACGCCUUUUAGAUUUGUGAUCCGGUAUAUAUAACCCAUAUCAGAGUGUGCAUGUAUUUCCUUGCUCUUGUUCUAUCAAGGGGCAAAACAUCAUUACUGUCAUGGAGGAGGGUCAAAUCCUAUCUCAGCCUUAAAUAUUGCAUCAAAGUGGAUUAUGUGAUUAAAUAUUGCAUCAAAGUGGAUGACUUAUGCAUAAUAUGCUACACAAGAUCAUUAAAUAAAAAAAUUGUAUUAAUAAAAAAUCAUGCAAGAAACACUAUACUCUUAUGAUAUCCCAUGUAGUGGUCUCAUUAUGAUUAUCUUCAAUACACAAGUUCACCAACUUGUAUCCAUAUGCAAACUAUAUUACUAUAUAUCAACCGUAUGGGUUCCUAUGUAUAUGAACUUCAACUCAAGUCUAAAUUAAUAUUUGAUCGAAAAGGUUUUCAAGAAUUAGAUGCUUGAGGUCUAUUAUAAUGUUUGUAAUAUACAGAGUAUAAUAAUGAAAUAUAGUAAUCAAACAAUAUUUUUAUCAAAUAACAUCAUAACUCAGAGAAAGUACAAUCAUUAUAAUGAUUGGCAUUUGGAUAUACUAGUAACAAUUAUAAUCACUGCACAUGUUAUGUUCAGAAUCUAAGCUAAAUAUAUACUGUAUAUAUAAAAAUCGAUCAACAUUUGUUCAGAGGUUUAACCAAAUUAUCAAGCUAAACAUCCACAAAGGGUGAAUGAACUUCUGUAUUUUAGAUUUUUAGGCAACAAGUACUUUGGUCUUAAACAUACUUUUUUAAUAAAUGUAAUGUUACUAGCAUUUAACUAAGCUAAAUAUGAAGAAAAGCGAUUAACAAUUUUUACCAUAUUUGGAAGGUUGGUGUAUUUGCAUAUAUUGUUGAUGGGGCUUUUAUAAUUAUCUUAACCACAUCAAGUAUAUUUCUUAUCCCAGUAGUUGAGAAAUAUAAAACAAAAAGAUAUAUAUCUUUUAUAUCAUAUCAUGUUCAUAUAAUAUACAAUUAACUUAUAGAAACAUACCUGUUAUAAAUGGAAAAAACCUCAACCUUUUGGUGUGAAAACAUGACAACAAGGUUAUAAGUGGAAAAAACCUCAACCUUUUAAACUCUUGGCCUGACUGGUAUAUUUAAAGUUUUGAUUUCUAAAAUAAACAUUUUUAGUGGUUUUUAAAAAUUAUACAACCUACAAAUACAAACAAAAAAAGAGUUGUCAUGGGAAUAAAAAGGAAAUUGAAAGAUCCAGAAAUUAAUAAUUUUUGUGGCCAAAUUAAAACAAAAGAAACCUUAUCAAAAGGCAUCUAUAUGUGUUCACACCUAACAGAGUGGAUAUGGAGUUGAUGAGCACACGUAUCAAAGCAUUCAUGAACACGUGUCAUUUUAUAAGAGGUCCAUGUCAUCAACCUGACACGAGUGGUUCUUUUUUAAUUUAGAUAAGCUCCAAAAGUUGGGAUAAGGAAAUAGAGGUAUGGCGUUCUAAUUUAUUAAUAUUUUCCAAAAGACCUCUAAGUUAUAGAUAGUUUCAUAAAACACCCUAAUAACAAUAUGUAUUCAAUAAAACCCUUCAAUCUAAAUCACAAUUCACGUGUCUAAUUAUAUUGGGUUCUAGUGACUUACCUUUUUUCUUAUAUGAGAAUAAAUAAAAAUAAAAUGCAGGUGAUUAUUCUGUUAUAUAAAGUUCAGUUAGUGAAUUUGAAAAUGAACAUGUCUAUUGCUUGAAGUAUGACCAUUUGAGUGUGUUUAUGAAAACUAACACAAACUUUGGGGCACUUUAUGCAACUUGUUUAUAUUUUUAAAUAGUUUCAUAAACUCUAAUAUUUUAUUUAUGGCUUUAUAGCACUCCUACUCUCCUCGGUUUUUUCACCUCUACACAAAUUAUAAGAUCAUGGGACCCACACUAGCAUAAAAAACCGGUUUCCCUUACAUGAGAUUUUGUGUAUAAAGUAUCAGUCAAAAUAUCGUGUUUCUUUUCCAUCAUGUCUUCAUAUGUGAUCUUAAAAAGAUUAGUGGAUUAACCCAAUUGUAAAAAGUGAAUUUGCCUUGUUUUGGCUAUUGGAUCGGGUUUUGACAAGUUUUAGACUCCCGCAUUGCUUUAUCUUUCUGAUUUUAAAAAAUAAAAAUAAUUAUAUAAACUUUUUUUUUUUUAACAAAUUUUAAAAUCCGGCAUUGCUUUAUCUUUUUUGAUUUAAAGAAAAAUAAUUAAAAUAACUGUAAAACUUUUACAAACACGAUCACCUUAAAGAACGAUACAUAUCAUCACAAAUUCAUGAUUAUCACAUCUGCUGCCCUACUUUGUGUUUGGAUUUCUUAAUUGUUUCUAUGUUAACUCGAUGUGCUAGUUUGUGUUAGAAAACUGAGGUAAACCGAUUGCUUGAAUUCUCUGAAAGUCGUGAUGUACUUUCAGAUUGAAAUAUUUCGAUGACACAAUUGAAAAGUCAACCGAAUAAAACUCGGAGAAUGAAGAAUGUUAUGAACUUCUCGUUUACCAUAAAAAAUGAUAAAAAACGAGAUACAACUCCUUAUGUCUGGAAACUGCAAAAACUGCCACAAGGCAGUUUCAAACCUGUCACAAAUCUAUCAUAAAAAACUAGGUCCAAGAUAAGGGUAAAAAACAGGUCCACAUGGGUUUUGCUCCUUGGACCCCACAAGGGGUUGCCAUCCCCUUGGACCUCGUUACCAAUGACAUUGCUCCCGGACCCCGUUGGUUCAUGAGUUUUGCCUCUAAAUAGCAAUAUACUUUCAAUCGAGACAAAUUUAAACAAAUGUACAAUCUAUACCAUCCUAAAUUGUUUAAUAUUUAUCAAGGUAACAAUGAUCAAAACAAGUUAAUCUUAUUAAACUUAAAUAACAUUGAUGACACAAAUCACCAACAAUUCUCUCUCAAUAAGACUACUAAUUCUUACUGUUCAUAUAGUAUGAUAUGAAUAUACCACAUCAAUUCGUUAUGUAUGGAUGAUGAGAUUUCAUUGAUACAGAGCUAAUUCCAAUAGAGUUAUUGGAGGGUCCCAUUGGCGUGCAUCUAGUAGGAAUUGAACCUACGAAUUCGUCAAUUAUGAGUUGGGUGCUUUAACCAUUCAACCACGUUCUUUGAUUGCUCAUAUUGUUGGACAUAUGCACAUAAAAUACAUAUAACACAACUAUAUAUAACACAACUAUUUGUGAUUGUUCUACUUUAUAAAAGAACUAUGAAAUUAAUUUGAAUGUGUAUUAUUUUCUGCUUCCAUAUUGUUGGUAGAAAUCGACACUUCUCCUUGGACAUUGUGCCAAAAGAUAAAGCCUGUAGAUUUUAUAAUAACAGAUAUUUUUUUUUUCACUUUAAAUAACUUCGUAAACGUAACUGAUUUAAGUCAUUUGAGUGUAAAUUGAGCCAACCAUAUCUUUUAACCGGCACACGAGAUAAAAGGAGUGAUAAAUACAAUAUCAUUUUCUCAUGAUAUUUUGAAUGCACGCGAAAAAUAGAAGAAGAUAAUUGAGAAAAUUUUAUUUUUUGUUCCUAGAGGCUAAAACUUAACCCCAAACCGCUUGUAUAUAAAAAGUCUAUCAACAUUUCGUAAGAGCAAAAGAGUCUCUUCCACAAGAAAUCAUCACAGCUUUCAUCCACCCUCACAUCCAUGGAUCCUUACAAGGUAGAACUCUCGUAUACUGUUUUUGAAGCUUAUGUACUACUUCAGUGCUGUUUCCGCAACUCUUUGACUCACUUAUCUCUAUAUGAAUCGUGUUUGUUAGGUUAUAUGAUUUAUAUAUUGCAAUUUGUUGUAUUUGAAUUGAUAUACAUGUUUGACCACUUGCUUUUGCGUAGUUUUUGAUUCAAUUGAUUAUUGAUGAUUGAGGUGAAGGUUUUUCCUGAAUUAGAUUACUUUUGCCCUAAAUCAUCAGAUUGAAAGCAUGUUGAUUUUGAACUGUAGUGAUCGAAUUCGAUUCACAAGCAGUUCCAUCCAUGUAUGUUUCCUUUUAAUAAAGAAUAAAUUUGAUUUUUCUAUGGUUUUAUUUUAAGAUACGGAGUGAAGCUCUGAUUCCAUGUUAUAUAGGUAAUUUCUAGAUUGCCUAUUCAUUUGAGCAACUUAAGAUCCAAUUUUUAGCUUUCUUUUAUCAGCCGAGUUUCUGUUUUGCAUAUAUCAAUCCGUAGGAACACUUGAUUCUUUAACCUUGUAUCAAAUUGCAAUAUCAAUGUUUUUUUUUUUUGGGGAUUAACUUAUCUAUUGUGCUGAUAUUCUGAUAUUACACAUAUCACACCCUACAAUUUUGCAUACCAUAGUUCUACUUACUCAUAGAUUUUACCUUUUUGGCUGAUGCAGUAUCGGCCUUCAAGUGCUUACAAUGCCCCAUUUUGGACUACCAAUUCUGGUGCUCCAAUUUACAACAACAACUCAUCAUUGACAGUUGGCACAAGAGGUACUUAAGUUUGGUAUCUGUCAUCUUCUUCUCAUCAAACUUGGAAUUUCUUGUUGGACUCUUUCAUCUUAGGUUAUGUGAAUAUAAAUCUCAUCCACUAAUCAUAAUUCCUCUUUUGUCAUAUUAUAGGCCCAAUCCUUCUUGAGGAUUACCAUUUAGUGGAGAAACUAGCCAACUUUGAUAGAGAACGCAUCCCUGAACGUGUUGUCCAUGCAAGAGGUGCCAGUGCAAAGGGUUUUUUCGAGGUCACACAUGACAUUUCUGGCCUCACAUGUGCUGACUUUCUUCGUGCCCCUGGUGUCCAAACUCCUGUCAUUGUUCGUUUCUCCACUGUUAUCCAUGAACGUGGAAGCCCUGAAACUCUCAGAGACCCUAGAGGCUUUGCAGUAAAGUUCUACACCAGAGAGGUAAAGGACCCCCNNNUCAAUUAUCUUAUAUCUUCUUAUUGACACUUGCAGGGAAAUUUUGAUUUGGUGGGGAACAAUUUCCCAGUGUUCUUUAUUCGUGAUGGGAUGAAAUUUCCAGACAUGGUUCAUGCUUUGAAACCAAACCCUAAGUCUCACAUCCAAGAAGACUGGAGAGUUCUUGAUUUCUUUUCUCAUCAUCCUGAAAGUCUACACAUGUUCACAUUCCUUCAAGAUGACAUUGGUGUCCCACAAGAUUAUCGCCACAUGGAAGGCUCAGGAGUCAACACCUACACCCUAAUCAACAAAGCUGGAAAAGCAUACUAUGUAAAAUUCCACUGGAAACCAACAUGUGGGGUCAAGAGUCUUCUAGAAGAUGAAGCAAUCAAAGUUGGUGGAGCCAAUCACAGCCAUGCAACACAAGAUCUUUAUGACUCCAUUGCAGCUGGAAACUAUCCUGAAUGGAAGCUUUUCAUUCAGACCAUUGACCCUGAUCAUGAAGAUAGGUUUGACUUUGACCCUCUUGAUGUCACCAAGACAUGGCCUGAAGAUAUUCUGCCAUUGCAGCCUGUGGGGAGGAUGGUUUUGAACAAGAACAUUGAUAACUUUUUUGCUGAGAAUGAACAGCUGGCGUUUUGUCCUGCUAUUAUUGUUCCUGGUGUUUAUUAUUCUGAUGAUAAACUGCUUCAGACACGUAUUUUCUCUUAUGCUGAUACACAAAGACAUCGCCUUGGACCUAACUAUUUGCAGCUUCCUGCAAAUGCUCCUAAAUGUGCUCAUCAUAAUAAUCACCAUGAUGGAUUCAUGAACUUCAUGCAUAGAGAUGAGGAGGUAUGUUUUUCUAUACUUAUAUUUUUAUAAAAAUAAUAAAUAUGGUUUUUUGAGUUUUGUUAAUUUUAUAAUCUUUUUAUUCGUUCAGAUCAAUUACUUCCCUUCAAGACACGACCCUGCUCGCCAUGCUGAACAGUACCCUAUUCCUCCUGUUAGGCUGUCAGGAAAGCGUGAUAAGGUCAGUUUAUUUAUUCUAUUUUUCUUUUAAAAUUUUUGUUCAAAUUGUUACUAAAAUGGGCAAAAUAAUUAAUUUUUUCCAACACUUGUAAAUUAUAAUUGUAGUGUGUGAUUGAGAAAGAGAACAACUUCAAGCAGCCAGGAGAGAGAUACAGAUCCUUUGCUCCAGACAGGUUUUUAUAUUUUUUUCUCAAAUUUCUUUUAUUUUUUUUUUAAUUUCAUCAAUAAACUAAUGUAGUUUUUUUUUUUUUUUUUUUUUUUUUUUUUUUUUUUUNAAUUCUUUUACAGACAAGAACGGUUCAUUAACAGAAUUGUUGGUGCUCUGUCUGACCCGCGGGUCACCCAUGAGAUCCGCACAAUUUGGAUUUCAUACUGGUCUCAGGUUCGAAAUAUUAAUAAAUUAAAUCCAAAUAAUCUACAAAAGAUUAAGAGUAAAUUACAAAACUUGUCCUUGUGCUUUCUGAAGCUAAAACGUUUUUCAGUUUUGAUCCUUAUUGCAAGGUUCAAAAUCGAUAUAAAACCUUGAAAUAAGGACCAGAAUUGGAAGAAAAAAAAAGUUUCAAUUUUGGACUAAAACUUAAAACAAAGUAAGAAUCAAAAAGUACAGGGACCAUUUUUGUAAUUUGCUCAAAGAUGAAUGUUUUAAAUUCUUACAAUUUACAAAAAAAAUGGAAUGUUGUUGCAGGCUGACAAGUCUCUGGGGCAAAAGAUAGCUUCUCGCUUGAAUGUGAAGCCAAGUUACUGAAGGGUAAAAUUGGAAAAAGCCUUUGGGUUGUGGUAUACAAAAUAGUUUAGAUAAGUUUGUUUGAGUCGAAUGUGUUGUUAUCGAAUUGGUGUUGGAGUCGUUUCUUUAAUGGUUGUAAUGUGGAAUAACUUUGCAUGAUGCUAAUGAUGUGAUUGCUUCUUCCAAAUAAAAAU
rnacentral:lncRNA from 1 species